rnacentral:rRNA from 1 species
AGUGAACGCUGGCGGUAGGCCUAACACAUGCAAGUCGAACGGCAGCACAGUAAGAGCUUGCUCUUACGGGUGGCGAGUGGCGGACGGGUGAGGAAUACAUCGGAAUCUACUUUUUCGUGGGGGAUAACGUAGGGAAACUUACGCUAAUACCGCAUACGACCUACGGGUGAAAGCAGGGGAUCUUCGGACCUUGCGCGAUUGAAUGAGCCGAUGUCGGAUUAGCUAGUUGGCGGGGUAAAGGCCCACCAAGGCGACGAUCCGUAGCUGGUCUGAGAGGAUGAUCGGCGACGCGGGAACUGAGACACGGGCCAGGCUCCUACGGGAGGCAGCAGUGGGGAAUAUUGGACGAUGGGGGCAAGCCUGAUGCAGGCAGAGCGCGUGGGUGAAGAAGGCGUUCGGGUUGGAAAGGCCGUUUGGUGGGAAAGAAGGGCGGGGGGGUGGGAGGGCGCGGUUGUGACGGUACCCAAAGAAUAAGCACCGGCUAACUUCGUG